CGGACGGGUGAGUAACACGUGGAUAACCUACCUAUAAGACUGGGAUAACUUCGGGAAACCGGAGCUAAUACCGGAUAAUAUUUUGAACCGCAUGGUUCAAAAGUGAAAGACGGUCUUGCUGUCACUUAUAUAUGGAUCCGCGCUGCAUUAGCUAGUUGGUAAGGUAACGGCUUACCAAGGCAACGAUGCAUAGCCGACCUGAGAGGGUGAUCGGCCACACUGGAACUGAGACACGGUCCAG
rnacentral:rRNA from 1 species